AUUGAACGCUGGCGGCAGGCCUAACACAUGCAAGUCGAGCGGGGGAGGUUGCUUCGGUAACUGACCUAGCGGCGGACGGGUGAGUAAUGCUUAGGAAUCUGCCUAUUAGUGGGGGACAACAUUCCGAAAGGGAUGCUAAUACCGCAUACGCCCUACGGGGGAAAGCAGGGGAUCUUCGGACCUUGCGCUAAUAGAUGAGCCUAAGUCGGAUUAGCUAGUUGGUGGGGUAAAGGCCUACCAAGGCGACGAUCUGUAGCGGGUCUGAGAGGAUGAUCCGCCACACUGGGACUGAGACACGGCCCAGACUCCUACGGGAGGCAGCAGUGGGGAAUAUUGGACAAUGGGCGUAAGCCUGAUCCAGCCAUGCCGCGUGUGUGAAGAAGGCCUUUUGGUUGUAAAGCACUAUAAGCGAGGAGGAGGCUCUUUUGGUUAAUACCCAGAAUGAGUGGACGUUACUCGCAGAAUAAGCACCGGCUAACUCUGUGCCAGCAGCCGCUGUAACAC
rnacentral:rRNA from 1 species